rnacentral:rRNA from 1 species
GACAGAGGGUGCAAGCGUUGUUCGGAAUUAUUGGGCGUAAAGCGCGUGUAGGCGGCUUUGCAAGUCGGGUGUGAAAGCCCUCAGCUCAACUGAGGAAGUGCGCCCGAAACUGCAGAGCUUGAGUGCCGGAGAGGGUGGCGGAAUUCCCCAAGUAGAGGUGAAAUUCGUAGAUAUGGGGAGGAACACCAGUGGCGAAGGCGGCGAUCUGGGAAGAUACUGACGCUGAGGUGCGAAAGCGUGGGGAGCGAACAGG